rnacentral:lncRNA from 1 species
AUCGGAGGUGCCUCAGCCAUGGCAUGGAUCCCUCUCUUCCUCGGCGUCCUUGCUUACUGCACAGGAUCCGUGGCCUCCUAUGAGCUGACUCAGCCACCCUCAGUGUCCGUGUCCCCAGGACAGACAGCCAGCAUCACCUGCUCUGGAGAUAAAUUGGGGGAUAAAUAUGCUUGCUGGUAUCAGCAGAAGCCAGGCCAGUCCCCUGUGCUGGUCAUCUAUCAAGAUAGCAAGCGGCCCUCAGGGAUCCCUGAGCGAUUCUCUGGCUCCAACUCUGGGAACACAGCCACUCUGACCAUCAGCGGGACCCAGGCUAUGGAUGAGGCUGACUAUUACUGUCAGGCGUGGGACAGCAGCACUGCACACAUGUGUGGUAUUCGGCGGAGGGACCAAGCUGACCGUCCUAGGUCAGCCCAAGGCUGCCCCCUCGGUCACUCUGUUCCCGCCCUCCUCUGAGGAGCUUCAAGCCAACAAGGCCACACUGGUGUGUCUCAUAAGUGACUUCUACCCGGGAGCCGUGACAGUGGCCUGGAAGGCAGAUAGCAGCCCCGUCAAGGCGGGAGUGGAGACCACCACACCCUCCAAACAAAGCAACAACAAGUACGCGGCCAGCAGCUAUCUGAGCCUGACGCCUGAGCAGUGGAAGUCCCACAGAAGCUACAGCUGCCAGGUCACGCAUGAAGGGAGCACCGUGGAGAAGACAGUGGCCCCUACAGAAUGUUCAUAGGUUCUCAACCCUCACCCCCCACCACGGGAGACUAGAGCUGCAGGAUCCCAGGGGAGGGGUCUCUCCUCCCACCCCAAGGCAUCAAGCCCUUCUCCCUGCACUCAAUAA